CGCAGUGAGAGGUAAAGGCUCUAAAGGAGACGUACUGUAGGGGAGCAUGAGAGAUGUCUGUUCAUGCUCCAGCCAUCACACAGCAGAAUAGAGGAAAGGACAAAGAAGAAAGAGCAAAGGAUGACAAUAGCUGUCUCUCAAGGAGGCUUCCUGGAAGCUUCCAUAUGACAUUCUGCCUUCAUCUGGUGUCCUGAACCUAGCAGACACACUGAGGACCUAAGCCUGGGAGGCAGCCUCUCAGCUCUGAG